AUGAAAAUACAGAAUACCUAAUUUUGUCCGAUCUCUACUCAUCCUUGGUGAGUACACAAUAUUCUUUCGUCCACUUUCUCCUAUACAUUGUGGAAGAAAAUUCUAGUUGUUCUGCCUCCUCCUUUGAAUAAUUUUUGAGCUCGAGUGGUAUUCUUUGUUACCUGAUGUAGAUCUGGGGAUGUAUCUUUCCCUUGAAAGAUUCUAAAGCUCUAUCGGUUCAGGAUGAAACAAUUGAGGAUUGAAAAUGAGGUCGAUUCUAAUAUGAAGAAUACUAUUGAAUAUACGUUUAUCACGCCUAGUGCUAUUGAAAAGGGACAAGGACGAGGGCUUAAAUCUUUGGAUGAGAAAUGAACUUUACCAUCUAAGAGUAUAUUUCCUCAAUCAAGUGAUCUAUUUGAGAAGAACUUCAAACGUCCUCCUCAACUGAAUGACCACAGUCUUUUCAAUUGA